rnacentral:rRNA from 1 species
CCCCUAGAUGUUCUGGGCCGCACGCGCGCUACACUGAACAGUUCAACAAGUCUUAACCUUGGCCGAUAGGUCUGGGUAAUCUUUGAACGCUGUUCGUGAUUGGGAUAGACCUUUGCAAUUAUGGGUCUUCAACGAGGAAUUCCUAGUAAACGCAAGUCAUCAGCUUACAUUGAUUACGUCCCUGCCCUUUGUACACACCGCCCGUCGCACCUACCGAUUGAAUGGUCCGGUGAAAUCUCGGGACGGCGGCUUGGUCGCUUGCGUCCGACUGCUGAAACUUGAUUAAACCAUAUCAUUUAGAGGAAGGUGAANUCGUAACA